CCUACGGGGGGCUGCAGUGGGGAAUAUUGGACAAUGGGGGGAACCCUGAUCCAGCCAUGCCGCGUGUGUGAAGAAGGCCCUCGGGUUGUAAAGCACUUUCAGUGAGGAAGAACGCCUGGUGGUUAAUACCCAUCAGGAAAGACAUCACUCACAGAAGAAGCACCGGCUAACUCCGUGCCAGCAGCCGCGGUAAUACGGAGGGUGCGAGCGUUAAUCGGAAUUACUGGGCGUAAAGCGCGCGUAGGUGGCUUGAUAAGCCGGUUGUGAAAGCCCCGGGCUCAACCUGGGAACGGCAUCCGGAACUGUCAAGCUAGAGUACAGGAGAGGAAGGUAGAAUUCCCGGUGUAGCGGUGAAAUGCGUAGAGAUCGGGAGGAAUACCAGUGGCGAAGGCGGCCUUCUGGACUGACACUGACACUGAGGUGCGAAAGCGUGGGUAGCAAACAGGAUUAGAUACCCUGGUAGUC
rnacentral:rRNA from 1 species